CAGUAAAAUAUUAAUUUAAUUACAGGCAUUUCUAUGGAUGAAAAUGAAAAAUUAGUAUAUUGUGUAUCAUUUGAUGAAGUUUACAUGUCUCAUGAUAUUUAUUAUAGAUAAAAUAUUCAAUCAAGUCAUUUGACCACACCACUGAUUUAUAUCUAAAACCGUGGAUCACACAAAACGGUUCAAAUAGUCCAGAGAGUCAGUGAUUUUCAUAUUGAUAAUGGUAGUACACAGGCACACAGCUGAAAAAAGUUAAGACAGCAGCCCAACAUUUCUCCAGGACAGUAUCAAAAGUGAUAGAAUAUUAUGGAUUCAAUCACAAAUUCCAACUAUCAAACUAGAAAUAAGCUGCAGAAUCUAUCCUUCUGAUAAAUAAUUGAUUUGACUUAUUCAACAGCCAAAAUAUGGUUGGAGAUAACUCCAUGGCAUAUGGUAUGAGUAUUGUAGAUCAAAUUGUAUCUGCAAAACAAAAUAUCACCUUACCAAAAAUACAUUAUUACAGAAAUCAACUAUAGAAUCAAAUUUCUCCAAUUAAGAAGACUCCAACUAGAACAAGUUUCAAUGUUCAUUCUCCAAACCUGUUACCGUCAUCUAAAAAACAAGUUGCAAAAUAGUGUUUGUAUUAAACGCAUGAUGCUCAGGGGUAAACAUGGAUUUGCUGCAUGUACAUGAGAUGUGUACAGGGUUGGAAAGCUUGACAGAAUUUAAAUGCGAGAUAAGUAAAUAACUUUAAUAUGUUCCUUAUAAAUAUCAAGGUUAGUACAUAGGUAGUAUGUGAUAAUAAUUUGCAAAUUUAACUUAGUUCUUAACUUAUUAAGUUUUAUUUGUCAAAUAAUUUACAUUUUUUAUAAACAACAGAACAUGUUAUUAAAGAGAUAAAGAAUGUUACUUAUGCAUAAAAUACUAUACCCUAUUCUAUAAUUUUUUAUUAUAAAUAAAAAUUAUUUGAAAGAUUCAAUUGAAACUUAUACAAUUUUAUUCAACAUAAAAAUAUGAUAGUCAUGGGGCAAGUUGAUGAAAUUGACAAACCUACAUAAAUUAUUUCUAAAACAUUAGAUACUAAAUAAUAAACGACAAACCAACAAAUUGCCAUAUAUUCUUAGUAUAUGUGAAUCAUCUGCAAAAAAACGAAGAAAAUCUAACCAUUAGAAGUAGCAGGAUAACUAUUCAAACCUCAAGCUAGUCAAUUUUCCCCACUCUCCCUAACUACCAUAUUUUUCUUUCUAAACUACUACAGUUUUAUUUUUUACAAAAACAUAUGGUAUGCAGGUGUUAACAUCGUUACAGCAAGUUACAAUAUUAUGUAUAACAAACAUGGGCACACGCAACAAAAAUAUAAGAACUGCGUUGUUAGUACAAUAAUUCUAUAUAUAGACCGAACACAAUUAUUAAAACCUUUUCUUAAAUAUUAAUUUUACCAAGCAUUCAAUUAAGCUUCAUGUUAAGAACUUGGUUUUCAUAGCGACUUAUACUAUUUUCACAAUGAUCUAAGUGAAUUAUUAAUAUUCUUCUAUUUACUUUCUCUUACAUAUUACUACCGAUGUUUAAACUGGGUAUUAAUUAAAAUACACAAUAAGAGUGAACAUCGAUAUUUGCAUUCAUGCAAUAAUCCUGAUUUAUCCAAACCUUGUAAUAUUAGUACUCAUUAGUUUCAUAUUAUCAGCCAUACUGACAUAAUCAGUGGUUUAAUUAGUUAAAACGUUCAAUAGAAAAUUAAAAAUUA